GCAGUGGGGGGGUGCUAUACAUGCAGUCGAGCGGACAGAUGGGAGCUUGCUCCCUGAUGUUAGCGGCGGACGGGUGAGUAACACGUGGGUAACCUGCCUGUAAGACUGGGAUAACUCCGGGAAACCGGGGCUAAUACCGGAUGGUUGUUUGAACCGCAUGGUUCAGACAUAAAAGGUGGCUUCGGCUACCACUUACAGAUGGACCCGCGGCGCAUUAGCUAGUUGGUGAGGUAACGGCUCACCAAGGCGACGAUGCGUAGCCGACCUGAGAGGGUGAUCGGCCACACUGGGACUGAGACACGGCCCAGACUCCUACGGGAGGCAGCAGUAGGGAAUCUUCCGCAAUGGACGAAAGUCUGACGGAGCAACGCCGCGUGAGUGAUGAAGGUUUUCGGAUCGUAAAGCUCUGUUGUUAGGGAAGAACAAGUGCCGUUCAAAUAGGGCGGCACCUUGACGGUACCUAACCAGAAAGCCACGGCUAACUACGUGCCAGCAGCCGCGGUAAUACGUAGGUGGCAAGCGUUGUCCGGAAUUAUUGGGCGUAAAGGGCUCGCAGGCGGUUUCUUAAGUCUGAUGUGAAAGCCCCCGGCUCAACCGGGGAGGGUCAUUGGAAACUGGGGAACUUGAGUGCAGAAGAGGAGAGUGGAAUUCCACGUGUAGCGGUGAAAUGCGUAGAGAUGUGGAGGAACACCAGUGGCGAAGGCGACUCUCUGGUCUGUAACUGACGCUGAGGAGCGAAAGCGUGGGGAGCGAACAGGAUUAGAUACCCUGGUAGUCCACGCCGUAACGAUGAGUGCUAA
rnacentral:rRNA from 1 species